UACGUAGGUGGCAAGCGUUGUCCGGAUUUAUUGGGUUUAAAGGGUGCGUAGGCGGUCUUAUAAGUCAGUGCUGAAAUAUCCCGGCUUAACCGGGGAGGGUGGCAUUGAUACUGUAGGACUUGAGUAGAGUUGAGGUUGGCGGAAUUGACGGUGUAGCGGUGAAAUGCUUAGAUAUCGUCAAGAACACCGAUAGUGAAGACAGCUAACUAGCUCUAACUGACGCUGAGGCACGAAAAGUGUGGGGGAUCAAAACAGGG
rnacentral:rRNA from 1 species